CCGAUGUCAAGGAAAGAAACGACUACCUGACUUUUAGAAGACACCUGAAGAUCCUGUAAGACAGGCGCCGACACGGAAAACAGCUGCGAACCGUGAGGCAGAUGUACUGAUACAGUUUGUCUUCCGCGACUGAGGGAAGUGAUGGAGGUCUAUCCCCAGUCAAGAUCAGCAUCUGUGUGGACUGCAGUUUGCAAAAA